ACAUGCAAGUCGAGCGGCAAGUCGAGGAGUAAUCUAAGACCUAGAGCGGCGCACGGGUGCGUAACGCGUAUGCAACCUACCUUAUACUGGGGGAUAGCCCGGAGAAAUCUGGAUUAAUACCCCAUGGCACAUAUUGAUGGCAUCUGAGAUAUGUUAAAGAUUUAUUGGUAUAAGAUGGGCAUGCGUCUGAUUAGCUAGUUGGCGGUGUAACGGACCACCAAGGCGACGAUCAGUAGGGGUUCUGAGAGGAAGGUCCCCCACACUGGCACUGAGAUACGGGCCAGACUCCUACGGGAGGCAGCAGUAGGGAAUAUUGGGCAAUGGUCGGAAGACUGACCCAGCCAUGCCGCGUGCAGGAAGACGGCCCUCUGGGUUGUAAACUGCUUUUAUCUGGGAAGAAAAAGGCCAUGCGUGGCAAAUUGCCGGUACCAGAUGAAUAAGCACCGGCUAACUCCGUGCCAGCAGCCGCGGUAAUACGGAGGGUGCAAGCGUUGUCCGGAUUUAUUGGGUUUAAAGGGUGCGUAGGCGGCUGAUUAAGUCAGCGGUGAAAGACUUCGGCUUAACCGGAGCAGUGCCGUUGAUACUGAUUAGCUUGAGUGUUGGAGGGGUACAUGGAAUUGAUGGUGUAGCGGUGAAAUGCAUAGAUACCAUCAGGAACACCGAUAGCGAAGGCAUUGUACUGGCCAACAACUGACGCUGAGGCACGAAAGUGUGGGGAUCGAACAGGAUUAGAUACCCUGGUAGUCCACACUGUAAACGAUGAUUACUCGCUGUUAUGGUGUAUACUGUAGCGGCCAAGCGAAAGCGUUAAGUAAUCCACCUGGGGAGUACGCCGGCAACGGUGAAACUCAAAUGAAUUGACG
rnacentral:rRNA from 1 species